GGUGAACGCUGGCGGCGUGCCUAAUACAUGCAAGUCGAGCGAACGGACGAGAAGCUUGCUUCUCUGAUGUUAGCGGCGGACGGGUGAGUAACACGUGGAUAACCUACCUAUAAGACUGGGAUAACUUCGGGAAACCGGAGCUAAUACCGGAUGAUAUUUUGAACCGCAUGGUUCAAAAGUGAAAGACGGUCUUGCUGUCACUUAUAGAUGGAUCCGCGCUGCAUUAGCUAGUUGGUAAGGUAAUGGCUUACCAAGGCAACGAUGCAUAGCCGACCUGAGAGGGUGAUCGGCCACACUGGAACUGAGACACGGUCCAGACUCCUACGGGAGGCAGCAGUAGGGAAUCUUCCGCAAUGGGCGAAAGCCUGACGGAGCAACGCCGCGUGAGUGAUGAAGGUCUUCGGAUCGUAAAACUCUGUUAUUAGGGAAGAGCAUAUGUGUAAGUAACUGUGCACAUCUUGACGGUACCUAAUCAGAAAGCCACGGCUAACUACGUG
rnacentral:rRNA from 1 species